AAGAAUCUGUGCUACUUUAUUCCAAGAAAAACCUCAUUCAAUCAGCACUUCAAGUCUCCAUGGUACAAAUGCUUAGAGGUCAAAUCUGACUGAACUGGGGCCACUGGUGCCAGAUCUGUUGGGCUGACAGGUCUGUUAGGUCCCACCAUUAGGCAUAUACGUGUUAGUCAGAACUAGCUGGAAAUGGACUGUGGGUGGAAUUUCUUUUGUCAUGCCCAGCAGUGGGGUGUUGUCAGCUCUUCCUGGGAAGUUUUGGAGGACAGUGGAAGAAUGACUCAUCCUUUCUGCUCUGCACAAGGGAGCCUAGGAAAGCACUGUGCUUCUGGAGAAAAAGGCGUGCAAUUCAGCGGCUUAAUACUCCCAGCACGACGUCCUCCCCAUGUACCACUGAAGAAUGGGCACUGAGGAUUUAUAGUAACAUGCUGCAGUGCCCUGAGGGGCCAAAUGAAGGACUCAAGCACUGCUCUGGUGGAUGGCUCAUGUGGACUUCAGCAGCCUUUAAUAUGAAGGAUUUGUGCUUUAAAAGAAAGAAGGGGAAACAACCUGAUUUACCUGCAGCUGAAGAACUUGCAAUCAAUGGGAUGAGGAGGAGACUCUUCAGCCUCCUGGAAGCUCCUAUUGCCAGAUUGAGCCAGGCAGUUCAGCAGCUGCUUCUCUGUGAAUGGGGACAGAAGACGAAAGGAUCUCCAGCAGGGAGUUUAUGGACUGAAAGCCUCACGAAACCCAAAACUUAAGAAGUCCUUCAUUAGAAGAGAUUUUGCAAGUGGUAAUGCUGCACUGUUUCAAUCAAUUCAUUUGACACCCACUCAUUUUGAAGUAAUUUAUCACAAUUAAGAUAGACAUUGUAGCACUGCGAUGAAAACUCUGGCAGAUUACAUAUUAUUAUGCCAUUCAGUGAUGUUUGCAAGCCUACUUUUUCUUUUUUCUUUUAUGUAAAAGAACAAGGUUUACAUAAAUCCUUGUUUCUGAGCCUGGAGCCCAUCUCUCAUGGGAGGAGGGGCUGCAGGGUUGCACUGCUGGUCCUGGGGUGCAAAGCUGGGAUUUGGGAUGUUGUCACUCAGCAUCACUUGGGUCACUGCCUCUGAAAGCCCCAGCCCUGUAGGGCCCAACCUGGCACUGGGGGUUGUGUUCACAUCAGUUCCCAUCCAGGUCCAGGGGAAACUGAAUCUGAUGUAGUACAGAGCUGCAGCCAGCCAUGUAAAAGCCAGGUGGGAAAUAACCUGGUCCAUUCCCAGUGCUGUUUUUCUGUUCAUGUGUCUGGGAAUCUUUCUUUUUCAUCAGCGAUAAGAAGAUCCUCCUGUUUCUCAAACCAUGGGAUGUUCUGGGGGGCUGAAGUGGGAAGGUCAAAUAAUUUCUGUUAAAUCAACCAAAGCUGCAGCUCCCCAGGCAGCCAGAGCCAGCAGAGCAGCGCUGACGGCUGCUGGGAUAUUUCAGUCUGAAUUUUCCAGAGAAAAUAUUUCUAUCUUGAAAUUUACCAGGCAUUAUUUUUUAAGUAGCUGGGUCAAAAAAAGAUCAGGAUCGGUAAGCAAAGCAAAGUGCUUCGGUGCAGGUCCUGCAAUAUGCCUUGAUUGAGUUGUCAUGCAAUGCAUUCCCUCCCCAAGCUUUCAUUUCAGCAAGACAGAUACACUGCAAAAAAGAAGUCUCAAAGUAGCAGAGGAUGACAAAUGUGUUUGGAUUAUUUUCUCCCCCACCUGUUUUUCUAUCUUCUUGUGCAGUGCUUUUCCUCUCCCUUCA
rnacentral:lncRNA from 1 species